rnacentral:sRNA from 1 species
UCGGAAGCAGGUCGAGCGAAGAGAUCAGAGAUCUGAAGAACUAAGAAGAAUGAAGACUACGCUGGCAUUGACUGUUCUGCCGGUCCAGCUGUCCUGUCCAACUGUCGGUUGCCUAACACUUUAAGAAUCUAGGGGUCAACUGCAUGGCUGAGAAUGAGGUGGACCUUCCCGAAAUCGAUGAGGAUAUUAAAAGUUUUUUUUAGUUUGGAAAACGUCAGAAGAAAUCUUAAAUGCCUACCAGCUCUACUUCUGCUUCCAUGGGCGUAAUGGACAUAAAGUAAUUCAAUAAUAGUUCAGCGAAAGAAAGCGCAGUUUUAUGUGUAUCAACUAUAUAAAGAUUUGAAAAUUGUUUCUCUUCCUA